rnacentral:rRNA from 1 species
AUUGAACGCUGGCGGCAUGCCUUACACAUGCAAGUCGAACGGCAGCACGGGUGCUUGCACCUGGUGGCGAGUGGCGAACGGGUGAGUAAUACAUCGGAACGUACCUUAUCGUGGGGGAUAACGCAGCGAAAGCUGUGCUAAUACCGCAUACGCCCUGAGGGGGAAAGCGGGGGAUCGAAAGACCUCGCGCGAUUAGAGCGGCCGAUGCCUGAUUAGCUUGUUGGUGGGGUAAAAGCCCACCAAGGCGACGAUCAGUAGCGGGGCUGAGAGGACGAUCAGCCACACUGUGCCUGAGACACGGCCCAGACUCCUACGGGAGGCAGCAGUGGGGAAUUUUGGACAAGGGGGGCAACCCUGAUCCAGCAAUGCCGCGUGAGUGAAGAAGGCCUUCGGGUUGUAAAGCGCUUUUGUCAGGGAAGAAACACCGGCUCUAACACAGUCCGGGAAUGACGGUACCUGAAGAAUAAGCACCGGCUAACUACGUGCCAGCAGCCGCAGUAA